rnacentral:rRNA from 1 species
ACGUAGGUGGCGAGCGUUGUCCGGAAUUACUGGGUGUAAAGGGUGCGUAGGCGGGUUUGCAAGUCAGACGUGAAAACUAUCGGCUCAACCGAUAGCCUGCGUUUGAAACUGUGAAUCUUGAGUGGUGAAGAGGUAAGCGGAAUUCCUAGUGUAGCGGUGAAAUGCGUAGAUAUUAGGAGGAACACCAGUGGCGAAGGCGGCUUACUGGGCACUAACUGACGCUGAGGCACGAAAGCAUGGGGAGCAAACAG